rnacentral:rRNA from 1 species
AACGAACGCUGGCGGCAGGCCUAACACAUGCAAGUCGAGCGAGAACUUCGGUUCUAGCGGCGGACGGGUUAGUAACACGUGGGAAACCUACCUCUUAGCAGGGGAUAACAUUUGGAAACAGAUGCUAAUACCGUAUAACAGUUAAAACCGCAUGGUUUUAAUUUAAAAGAUGGUUCUGCUAUCACUAAGAGAUGGUCCCGCGGUGCAUUAGCUAGAUGGUGAGGUAACGGCUCACCAUGGCGAUGAUGCAUAGCCGAGUUGAGAGACUGAUCGGCCACAAUGGGACUGAGACACGGCCCAUACUCCUACGGGAGGCAGCAGUAGGGAAUCUUCCACAAUGGGCGCAAGCCUGAUGGAGCAACGCCGCGUGUGUGAUGAAGGGUUUCGGCUCGUAAAGCACUGUUGUAAGAGAAGAAUGACAUUGAGAGUAACUGUUCAGUGUGUGACGGUAUCUUACCAGAAAGGGACGGCUAAAUACGUGCCAGCCGCCGCAGUAACAC